AGCAGUGUGGCUUAGUGGAAAGAGCAAGGGCCUGGGAGUCAUAAGGACCUGGGUUCGAAUCCUGACUCUGCUG
rnacentral:tRNA from 1 species